rnacentral:lncRNA from 1 species
UCCAGGAAGCCAUUUUUGCAAAGCUACUAUUUUUGGGCAAUCUGCACAGUUUUCGAUUCUGUGGAAAAUGAAUCGCGGAAGCGGUUUCGCUUUUGCAGAUUUCCAGUCGCUUCUGCAAUUUUUAUUUUUUUCUAUUUUUAAUUUUCCGCUUCUGCAGAAAUUACGCUUCUGCGAAAAAUUGACUGCUUCUGCGGUCUCAGUCAUCUUCUUC